GGAUUAGAUACCCUGGUAGUCCACGCUGUAAACGAUGAGAACUAGACGUUGGGCGGGUAACUGCUCGGUGUCGCAGCUAACGCACUAAGUUCUCCGCCUGGGGAGUACGGCCGCAAGGUUGAAACUCAAAGGAAUUGACGGGGGCCCGCACAAGCGGUGGAGCAUGUGGUUUAAUUCGAUGCAACGCGAAGUACCUUACCUGCCCUUGACAUCCUGGGAAUCCUACCGAAAGGUGGGAGUGCCUUCGGGAACCCAGAGACAGGUGCUGCAUGGCUGUCGUCAGCUCGUGCUG
rnacentral:rRNA from 1 species